AAUCAACGCUGGCGGCGCGCCUAACACAUGCAAGUCGAACGAGAAAGUGGAGCAAUCCAUGAGUAAAGUGGCGUACGGGUGAGUAACACGUGGAUAAUCUGCCCUUUAGUGGGGAAUACCGUUGGGAAACCGACGACAAUACCGCAUAAUCUCGAGAGAGGAAAGCAGCAAUGCGCUGAAGGAGGAGUCCGCGGUCGAUUAGCUAGUUGGUGAGGUAAUGGCNCACCAAGGCUGUGAUCGAUAGCCGGCCUGAGAGGGCACACGGCCACACUGGCACUGAAACACGGGCCAGACUCCUACGGGAGGCAGCAGUGGGGAAUCUUGCACAAUGGGGGAAACCCUGAUGCAGCGACGCCGCGUGAGCG
rnacentral:rRNA from 1 species